rnacentral:rRNA from 1 species
UACAGAGGGUGCGAGCGUUGUUCGGAAUUACUGGGCGUAAAGCGCGCGCAGGCGGCCUUUUAAGUCUGACGGUGAAAUGCCGGGGCUCAACCCCGUGCCCGCCGGAGAUACUGGGAGGCUGGAGACGAGUAGAGGCAAGCGGAAUUCCGGGUGUAGCGGUGGAAUGCGUAGAGAUCCGGAAGAACACCGGAGGCGAAGGCGGCUUGCUGGGCUCGGUCUGACGCUGAGGCGCGAAAGCCAGGGGAGCAAACGGG